AGUGAACGCUGGCGGUAGGCCUAACACAUGCAAGUCGAACGGCAGCACAGUAAGAGCUUGCUCUUACGGGUGGCGAGUGGCGGACGGGUGAGGAAUACAUCGGAAUCUACUUUUUCGUGGGGGUUAACGUAGGGGAACUUACGCUAAUACCGCAUACGCCCUACGGGUGAAAGCAGGGGAUCUUCGGGCCUUGCGCGAUUGAAUGAGCCGAUGUCGGAGUAGCUAGUUGGCGGGGUAAAGGCCCACCCAGGCGACGAUCCGUAGCUGGUCUGAGAGGAUGGUCGGCCACACUGGAACUGAGACACGGUCCAGACUCCUACGGGAGGCAGCAGUGGGGAAUAUUGGACAAUGGGCGCAAGCCUGAUCCAGCCAGACCGCGUGGGUGAAGAAGGCCUUCGGGUUGUAAAGCCCUUUUGUUGGGAAAGAAAAGCAGCAGGUUAAUACCCCGCUGUUCUGACGGUACUCAAAGAAGAAGCACCGGCUAACUUCGUG
rnacentral:rRNA from 1 species